CCCAGACUCCUACGGGAGGCAGCAGUGGGGAAUAUUGCACAAUGGGGGAAACCCUGAUGCAGCAACGCCGCGUGAGUGAAGAAGUAUUUCGGUAUGUAAAGCUCUAUCAGCAGGGAAGAAGAAGGACGGUACCUGACUAAGAAGCCCCGGCUAACUACGUGCCAGCAGCCGCGGUAAUACGUAGGGGGCAAGCGUUAUCCGGAUUUACUGGGUGUAAAGGGAGCGUAGACGGCAGUGCAAGUCUGAAGUGAAAGCCCCGGGCUUAACCCGGGAAUUGCUUUGGAAACUGUACGGCUGGAGUGCUGGAGAGGUAAGCGGAAUUCCUAGUGUAGCGGUGAAAUGCGUAGAUAUUAGGAGGAACACCAGUGGCGAAGGCGGCUUACUGGACAGUAACUGACGUUGAGGCUCGAAAGCGUGGGUAGCAAACAGGAUUAGAUACCCCCGUAAA
rnacentral:rRNA from 1 species